rnacentral:rRNA from 1 species
AUUGAACGCUGGCGGCAGGCCUAACACAUGCAAGUCGAACGAGUGGCGGACGGGUGAGUACUGUCUGGGAAACUGCCUGAUGGAGGGGGAUAACUACUGGAAACGGUAGCUAAUACCGCAUACCAUCGGAUGUGCCCAGAUUGGAUUAGCUAGUAGGUGGGGUAAAGGCUCACCUAGGCGACGAUCCCUAGCUGGUCUGAGAGGAUGACCAGCCAGCAUAGAGCUAAGACAAGGUCCAGACUCCUACGAGAGGCAGAAGUGGGGAAUAUUGCACAAUGGGCGAAAGCCUGAUGCGGCCAUGCCGCGUGGAUGAAGAAGGCCUUCGGGGUGUAAAGUACUUGCAGCGGGGAGGCGUUACCCGCAGAAGAAGCACCGGAUAACUCCCUGCCAGAAGCCGCGGUAAUAC